rnacentral:rRNA from 1 species
UACGGGGGGGGCAAGCGUUGUUCGGAAUUACUGGGCGUAAAGAGCUCGUAGGCGGGGCUGCGCGUCGCGGAGUAAAUCCAUCUGCUUAACGGAUGGCUCAUCUGCGAUACGGCAGCUCUUGAGGACAGGAGAGGGAAGCGGAAUUCCGAGUGUAGCGGUGAAAUGCGUAGAGAUCCGGAAGAACACCGGAGGCGAAGGCGGCUUGCUGGGCGUAGUCUGACGCUGAGGCGCGAAAGCGUGGGGAGCGAACAGG